UGGAGUGAAAGGGACCCGCACGCUCGGCAGGGGACCCCAGUGCCCCAUCUGCGUUGCAGCUGCCUCCUGUGCUCCUUGCAGGUGUCGUCAGCUUCCACCGACAGCCAGCUCUGGACCCCGCUGCCCCGCCGCCUGCCUUCGCUGGCCGUCACCUAAAACGAGCCUCUGAUCUCAGGUGGGCUGGGAUGUGGCGCCUCCACAGAAGAUGUCACUGUCUGAGAAACGGAAGACUCCUGUCUGAACACUUCCUAAAUUGAAGGCUUUAGAUUCUUCUUUAGAUUCUGCAAAAUGUGAAUACAGUUUGGUUAGUUUGAAUUCUACAUAUAAUUUGCUUAAUCAAAGGGAAUGUAUUAAGAGUUCAGGUAGAGUGAAACCUCGCUGUAAACUCUCUUGCUUUAAUAAUGCUGAUUAUAAAAACUCUUUUUAAAAAAAAUGUUUAUUUACUUAUUUUUUUGAGAGAGAGAGAGCAUGAGCAGGGUGGGUGCAGAGAGAGAGGGGAACAGAGGAUCUGAAGUGGGCUGUAUACUGACAACAGCGAGCCUGAUGCAGGGCUCGAACUCAUGAACUGUGAGAUCAUGACCUGAACUGAAGUCAGAGGCUCAACUGACUGAGCCACCCAGUUGCCCCCGAUUAUAAGAACUCUUAACUGCUAUUGAGCGUUUACUGUGUUCAAGAUGCUGUGGUACCUGCUUUACAACAUACGUUAAACCAUUUGGCUCUCGUAGCGGCACAAGCGCCUUUAUUAUUCCCAUUUUACAGAUGAGAGAACUGAGGUACAGAGAGGACAAAUAAUUUAUUCAAGGUUACACAGCUUGUAAGUGGUGUCUGUACCACACAUUCAAGUAUUUCUUGUUGAACAAUUUUCCUCUUGCUCAGAGUAAUACCUAUUAUAUCUUUUUUGGCUAUGUUAGAGAAAUACUAUAAAAAUUAUUCUUGUCUUCAAAUGCCAUCCACAUAAAAAUGUUCUAUAUUUUAGAGCUCUACUUAUGUUAGCA
rnacentral:lncRNA from 1 species